AGUUUCAAGAGAAUGUGGCAGCUUGGGUAUGCUUUCAUGACCGGAAAGAUGCGUUUAAGGGAUUCCUUGGGACGGUUCUUCGGCUUAAAUCGGCAUAUGAUAAAAGAGAAGAGUAAAGAAGCUUUCAUUGCAUUGCAUUUAGAGAAGCACUGAAGUUCAAGUUCGUUCCUUCUCCAUUAAUAAAACUGUCAAUCACUCUCUCUCCCCAUACGUGCAUUCCCCCCCCCCACCCCCCCCC